GGGAUGACGUCAAGCCUCAUGGCCCUUAUGUCCAGGGCUACACACGUGCUACAAUGGCCGGUCAAAGGGUAGCAAGACCGCGAGUGGAGCAACCCCAAAAAGCCGGUCUCAGUUCGGAUUGGAGUCUGCAACUCGACUCCAUGAAGUUGGAAUCGCUAGUAAUCGUGGAUCAGCAUGCCACGGUGAAUACGUUCCCGGGCCUU
rnacentral:rRNA from 1 species